UUUUUUUUUUAAAAGGAAAAAAAUAAAAUCUAACAUUUAAUCAUUUUUGGUGACUAAGGGUUCCAUGUGUACAGGAGUAGCAUAACAACAAUCAGAUGGAAAAGCAUAAAUCUCAUGAGACUCACUCGUCUUUCAUUGCAAGUUCAUGUUUCUUCUUUUGUCCAACUUCCAAAAGCAACGUCAAUAGAGCCUCGCACACUUGAGAAGCAUCUGCUUCAGAAGGGUCGUCAUUUAAUGAGGAAUAGACCAUCCAAGCAUGGUCCAAUUUGCGUUUAGGGCGCACUACAAUGGAUCCAGGGACUUCUGCGUCACGACAUGUGACAAGCCCAUCACUCUUCUCGCCAUACCUAAUUUGCAACAGCUGAGCACAUGCAGCCAUUGCAGCACCAAGGGGAAUCACCACAGGAACUUUCGCUGGUUCACCCACCAAUGGUAACUCUGCAUGAGCAACAUGAGAUAGCGUGGCUAGAACUGCAGGGCUAGUCCCAGCUUCUGUGUGGAAUGAUACAACAGGAAGUUCUCUGGGCAAAUGAUGUUUCAUCAAGAAUUUCUUCCUCCUCUCAUAAGUCAAGUCCUCUAAAGCUUGUAGAUCACCCUUAAUCACUUUACAGAUUAUAAUCUCCAUAAGCUUGCGCACAUUAACAUAAUCACCAAGUUGUCCUUCACGUAAAAUAUCUGAAGCUAUUGGGCUACCACCAUAAGGACUUUGUGCUAAUGCCAACCCAGCUACCUUAUCUUUUAAAUCAGACCAAUACAAUGAUAAAGCAGCAGCGGCAUCUAUUCCUCCUUUACUAUGUCCAAGAAGCAUGACACGUUUAUUUGAACCCCAAUAGAUUUCCUCAAUGUACUCUUUUAUCUCUCUGGCAUUUUUCUCAACUGAAGCCUCACUGUGAAUCUUGGCAAUGUGACAGGCUAGUCCCAUCUUAGAGAAUCUCACUUUUGUAUUAACAAAAUAAAGUGGUCCAUGAUUACUGAAAAGACCUGGAACCAACAAGUAAACCACUGAAUUUGACAACUUGUGCAAACCAUGCCUGAUGUUAUCAAGAAUUUCCAUGAACCUUUCAGUGCCAUCUUCAACUGCAGGCAUCCAUAAAGCACGUUGCAUCCAUCCUAUAUCAUCAGCAGAUCCACGAACAGUCCUCCGUGCUCUCUCAAUAAGCCCUUGAAAAAUAGAAAUUCCAUUUUGGCCACUAUGGUUUGAUGAUACAAUUGCACUCGUAUGUUGGGAUGGGCUUUCCAAAGAGGUUCUUGUUAUUCCAUCACGGAUAGGAGGGGGAGCAGUCGCAGAUGUAGAUGUAGAUGGUUCUGAAAACGUUGAAUGGCUUUGACUUGAAGAUGGGAAAUCAUCAUCCAGAUAUUCCUCAGUUUUUCCAGAAGAAUAUGUCACCAAUUCCUGUGCAUGAGUAAUUGAAUUCCCAGAAUCUCUAGAAGAAUAUUCCAAAGAAUAAUCAGAGAAACAGCGAGUUAGCAAUGAAGUUGUUUGAGCAAGGUAAGAUGCAGCUUCACUGAGAACUGGUACUCCAGUAAAUAGUUGAGGAAUGAACAUAUCAUUUCCCAGAUCGUCAUUCUGUGCCAUCAAUGAGGUGUAGGUGUUUGAUUCUCUACUUGUUCUAGGACUUCCGGCUUCCCCCAUCGAGUUCAGGAGAAUGGGCAAAUUUAGAAUUGUGAAUCAGAUAAUUCGCAAUUUGAUUCACAAUUGAAUUGAAGUUCGAAUUAGGGUUUCAAAAUAUUCAUUUCUUCAGAAAUCAGAGACGGAGAGAAUCAGAAAUCUUGAGGGCUAAGGAUUAGCGGUGAAAUAGAAUAGAAGACAACGUCGUUUUCAAUGGAUUUGAGCUGCAAAACACAGACCGGGCCUCCGCAGCGAAAUUUAUAAAUUACAUCAUCUUCAUGUGAACUUAAUUUUUUAAAUGCAAAAUCUAGAGAUUCUC
rnacentral:misc_RNA from 1 species